GAUGAAGAACGCAGCGAAAUGCGAUAAGUAAUGUGAAUUGAAGAAUUCAGUGAAUCAUCGAAUCUUUGAACGCACCUUGCACCCUUUGGCAUUCUGAAGGGUAUGCUCGUUUGAGUGUCAUUGUACUCUCACACUCCCGAUCUUUGCAUUGGGAGCAGUGGACUUGGGUUUGCUGCUUCACCGUCGCUUACCUCAAAUAGGUUAGUGCAACUCUUGGUUGGACAUAGUACGGCGUGAUAAGUGUUCUUCGCCGGUGCCUCGCAAAGAGGGUGGCCGAUCGGGAUGUUGUGCUCCAAACCGUCUUCGGACAAUCUCUGACGACUUGACCUCAAAUCGAGUAAGACUACCCGCUGAACUUAAGCAUAUCAAUAAGCGGAGGA
rnacentral:misc_RNA from 1 species